CCAUAUCUGUGGUGACAAUAUUUAAUUGUCAAUUUUGUCGUCAAGGUAGUUUUUUUUGUGUACUUCUUUUGGAGUGAGUUUGGUCCUUGGUCGAGUAAUCGAGUUAGAAAUUCAAAUUCCAAGUCCAACUAAAUAGGAAAUCUUACCACAAAAUAACCAUGAACUGAAAUUGAAGAUUUUUCAUAGGAGACGAGGUCAAUGCAUAACCUUAGUACGACACAUAAUACCGGCAAAAAACUGCAGCCACCAUCGUAUUUAUAAAUAAAAUUCAGGUGCAACCAUCUAUAUGCUGGUGACGUAUUCAUCAUGGUGAAACUCUCAGGAAAUAACUUGCCGAAGCGCCAGCAUGAACUAAACAUUCAAGUCAACGAAACUGUUUCCAAAAAUGUCCCAUUCAAGGAGAUUGAAGCCGAAACAGAAACUUCAGAUGCUGACAGACUAUUCAAAAUUGAUGUUGCUGCUAAGUAUAAAAACACUGAAUUUAUAAUUGAAACAUUGAAAUCGGGUGACUCUCUUUACAUAUCCAGAGUGCUCAAAAAAUGUCGUUGGCUCUAUGAUGAUGAAUUCGCUACUAUUAUGAACACUGAUUAUUUGCACUACAACAUAUUCCCAUUUAUGUCAUUAAAAAUGAAAAAGCAUUUAUUAACAGCAUUAUACAUGAACAUGAGAAAUGAGAACCGUGCAGCUGAUUUCUACCGUUAUUGCAAAAAAAUUAAAUUGGAUGCACUUGGAUAUAAAUUCCUAAAAUUCACGUCUGAAUCAUUCAAAUUGGAGUUAAUGCAAGAAAAUGUUUCUGAGAUUGAACGAAACGACACUGAGUACUGGAAAAUGUUCAUUGGUAACUCUUUUACACUCUUUGAAGAGUACUUACGGAGUUCAUGUUGGAAUAAAAAUGAUGCUUUUGAGAAGUUCAGUUAUUUGUACUCGGUAUCUGAUGUUCAGUACUUAGACUUGCUGGAAAAACAUGUUGACGAAUCAAAAAAGGGAUUUAGAUUAAGCUUAAAAAUAACUAAGCACAUUGCUAUAAAACACAAAAACCGAAUAAUGGCUAAACCAGACUUGUAUGUGAAUAUACUCAACGUUGGGAAAUUACUUAGGCAUAGUUCAUUGAAUGAAGUUGAGUUUUUUGCUAUCUUUCUGUUGCCAGCAAAAGUGUCUGAAUUUUGGACUAAUCGUCAUCAAAUUAAGUUCAAGCCGAUAAUCAAUGUUGUUCCUGAGAACGAAAGAUAUGCUUUUGCCAAGAAGAUAUUUACAGAUAAAUAUCACAAUGAAGAGUUUGAGAUGUGUAAAGAAUUUUACGUUAAAAAGUAUUAUAGCCUUAUGACGUUAGAAGAAAAGGAAGCUUGGGCUAUGCGUCACAUUGCCAGCGGAAAUGAAAUUCUUGGUAGUGGUAGAAACUUUAUUUGGUACAAAUUCGUUAACUUUACUAAAGCAUUUGAUGAAAUUAAAAAGUUAAUCCACACUGCAACUGAUAAGACUAAACGAUCUGAUCUUCUCAAAGUUUUAGUACAGUCUGCAACAAAUAACGUCGAAGUGGAAAAAGUGUUACAAUAUUAUUAUGAAAGGCAUGUUAAUGAAAAUAAAACCAACAAAACAAUGUUUUUACUGAGCGUUACGAAUCAUCACAAUGUAUUUAAGUUUGAAGAUAGUAGCUGGACAGCAUUCAUUAAAAUUUGUAACAGCAUGAAGGCUUUCGAUGCAGAUGGUGGUAAUCCUGAUUUCAAAAUUGUUGCCAUGUUAUAUAAUAUAAUCAAUGACAAAGAAAUGCCUGAUGUAUUAGUACAUUUUAUGGAAUUAUCCAUGCCUAUUUACUCCAUUAAAAAACACGUCGAAAAUAUAGACAAAGAAACUAAACUAAAAGUGUAUGAUUACAUUUAUAAUUUUUAUUUGAACAGAAUUAUUAAAUUUCAACCAGGCAGUAAAGAUGAUAAAUUAGUAACCUGCAUGCAUUUUCUGUUGGAACUUAUGGCUUUGUUUGAAAAAACUAGAGCUGACAUUCCUGACAAUAUAAUGGAAUUUACGAAACAGGAUAAAGAUAGUUAUAAGUAUCAGCAAAUACUCCAGAGGUCAGAUAAAGAAUUAACAGAAAGUGAUUUAAUAAGGUGUCUCAAAGAAGAUUCAAAACUAGCGAUUGAUAAGUUACCGGAAAUAAAGCAAGCAAUUAAUGAAUCCUGGACCUAUAAAACGAACAAUUUAUUAAAAAAGUUGAAAGUAUACUUUUCCGAAGAUGUUGGUCAAACAUUCCUCAAAUUUUAUACUGAUUUGCUCUCUGAAAGCGUCGAGAAGAAUCAGCGUAGGGGAAUACAUUCUGCCGUGUACGGAAUAUUCCAACUAAGUGAUGAGAAACAUAAAAUUCGUUUCAUGGAAGAAAACGCACCAGAAAAUGCGAAAAUCGAUCAUGAGCAUAUAGAUGCGGGUUUAUUAAAAAAGCAGGAAGCAAUUUGUCGCUAUGUCAGCUACUCACGGCCGCUAGUGCCUCUUGCUAACAUCUUGAAGUACAUAAAGGGCGACUAUGUCCACUACUGCUUGCCAAUGUUUAACCGGCUAUUCAUGAAUCUACCCAAUCCUACAUGCUUGAAAUUCGUCGAAUCUCUAAUAAAUUCUCCUGUUUCGACCCAAAAACACGGCUUAAGGUUAGCUUUUAAAUGCUUUAGUGCUGAAAAUUUGAAGAAACUUCUUUUGAAUGCUUGGAAAAGUACUAAAAAUGUAUCUAUUAGAAGUGUCAUAUACAAGAAUAUAUUUGAGAAGACUGCAAAUGAUCCUGAAAAAGAGUUGUACGAUAUCUUAAAGUUUUUGACGUUAGAUCUUAACGAUACCGAUGACGACGAUUUGUUUUCACUCUAUAGAACUUAUAAACUAUCUGCUGAGUUCGUGGGUGAAUUUUACGAUGCCCUUUGGACAGCAGUUAAGGUAUUUAUAGAUACCGAACAGAAUGUAACACGUAAAACGAACAUAAUAAAACAAAUCGAUGAUAAAAUAUAUUACAUGAAAAAAGAUACUGUGAAGGGUAUCGUUAUGGAGUACCUGAAUUCUAUGUUUAACCAAUGUGAAGCAAAUACUGCAAAUGUUCAAAAGUUUCAGUACUUGUAUCUUGCUAAAUGGGAACUGCUUGCGCAUUACAUUGAAUAUUUUACGAAAGAUGAAACUGAUUUAUCUGAAAGUAUUGAAAUGACCAAACUGAUUGCAACUGAAAUAUUGAAACGUUGGAAUGACGUUGCUUGCGAUAUUUACGUGUACAGACGGAUGCUCAAAGAAUUUGUGUAUAAUUUGGAUACGCCCAGAUUUGUACCGAUACCAAACACUUGUGCUCUCCUUUCGGAUACCACGUCAUUUGUAAAUGCUUUGCCUGUGUUCGAAGCGAUUUUAACGACUUUGGAAACCAGUUUGCCAUUACACGAACUAUAUUGUUUUCAAUGGAAGUUGCGAAUCAUUAUAACAACACGGCGAGUGAUCAAAGAAGUUCAAGUGAACCCUGACACAAAUGGAGUGGAGAUGGUUGAAAAAGCUUCUGGAGAAUUCGGGAGACAAAUUGGUAAUUUAGUAAAAGAAGCCGUAAACAAUGCGAAAUAUUUCGCGCACUUUGUAAGCCAUUUGGCUGUUUAUAUUAACAGUAAUGCCCGAAAUAUUCAAAUGCAUCUACGUUUAAAUGGCGUCGAGGUGACAGACCAUGAUAUUUUGGUGUUGACUGCCCGCGGAUUGUUAGAAUUGAAUACAAAUGAAACUAGUCUCUUGGCCUUGGAAAUACUCCCUGUAGACCCGAAAUGCAAUUUGGGUUUUUAUCAAUCUGUGUACAAAACUCUUAAAGAAAAACCUGAGCUUGAAAUCCAAUGUUGUAUGUCUUCAAAGUUUAGCGAUGAUUGUAAGAGAAGGCGAUAUGAAUAAGUCACUUUUUCCAUACAGUAUUAUAUUUUUAUAUGUAUAUUUAUUUACAGUAUAAGUAAUUUUAUUUUAAAAGUGUAUGAAUACACUUUUGCGGUGCCUUCAAAAAUCUACAUCUAAUCGUUAAUUGUUGAAUUAUGUAGUUGAUAAGUAUAGUAAACAAACGAUGAUAUUUUGUAGCUUGAUAACUUUUUUUACACAUAGUUGCACAAAAUUGUUAACUUUACUAAUAUUUUGUCGUUGUUUUAUAUUGUACUAGAAUAGCCUUCUGUAUAAGAUUCUGAGACAGUUCAACCUUUUUGUGAGAUUUGUAUAAUAUUGCAUAUUUUAAAUGUGCCAGUUUCUAUUGCAGAGAGUGGAUGCAUACAGAUUAAUAUUAAGUAUAGUUGAUAUUUAGAACUUUAUUUUUGUAAUGUUUUUUAUACUCUACUACACAAUACGCAACAGUCUGUAAAGUCUGUGUACCUACUUGUUUUAAAAAUAUAUUCUUUAUUUUAAAUUAA